rnacentral:rRNA from 1 species
AUUGAACGCUGGCGGCAGGCCUAACACAUGCAAGUCGAGCGAGCGGCGGACGGGUGAGUAAUGUCUGGGAAACUGCCUGAGGGAGGGGGAGAAAUACAGGAAAAGGGAGCGAAUACCGCAUACCAUCAGAUGUGCCCAGAUGGGGUUAGCUAGUGGGUGGGGUAACGGCUCACCUAGGCGACGAUCCCUAGCUGGUCUGAGAGGAUGACCAGCCACACUGGAACUGAGACACGGUCCAGACUCCUACGGGAGGCAGCAGUGGGGAAUAUUGCACAAUGGGCGCAAGCCUGAUGCAGCCAUGCCGCGUGUGUGAAGAAGGCCUUCGGGUUGUAAAGCACUUUCAGCGGGGAGGCGUUACCCGCAGAAGAAGCACCGGCUAACUCCGUGCCAGCAGCCGCGGUAAUAC